rnacentral:rRNA from 1 species
UACGUAGGGGGCAAGCGUUGUCCGGAUUUAUUGGGUUUAAAGGGUGCGUAGGCGGUCUAUUAAGUCAGUGCUGAAAUAUCCCGGCUUAACCGGGAGGGUGGCAUUGAUACUGAUGGACUUGAGUAAAGUUGAGGUUGGCGGAAUUGACGGUGUAGCGGUGAAAUGCUUAGAUAUCGUCAAGAACACCUAUUGCGAAGGUAGCUAACUAAGCUUAAACUGACGCUGAGGCACGAAAGUGUGGGGAUCAAACAGG